rfam:Brassica oleracea var. oleracea cultivar TO1000 chromosome C9, whole genome shotgun sequence
GCGCCUGUACCUCUGUGGAUAGAACGUCUGUUUCCUAAGCAGAAGGCCGUAGGUUCGACCCCUACCUGGCGCG